AGCAGCCGCGGUAAUUCCAGCUCCAAUAGCGUAUAUUAAAGUUGUUGCAGUUAAAAAGCUCGUAGUUGAAUUUCGGGGUCAGUAAGUUGGUCGUGCCACUGGUAUGUACUGGCUUUACUGAUUCCUCCUUCUUGUAGAACCGUAAUGCCAUUAAGUUGGUGUUGCGGGAAAACAGGACUGUUACUUUGAAAAAAUUAGAGUGUUUAAAGCAAGCUAACGCUUGAAUACAUUAGCAUGGAAUAAUGAAAUAGGACGAACGAUCCUAUUUUGUUGGUUUCUAGGAUUGACGUAAUGAUUAAUAGGGAUAGUUGGGGGCAUUAGUAUUCAAUUGUCAGAGGUGAAAUUCUUGGAUUAUUGAAGACUAACUACUGCGAAAGCAUUUGCCAAGGAUGUUUUCAUUAAUCAAGAACGAAAGUUAGGGGAUCGAAGACGAUCAGAUACCGUCGUAGUCUUAACCAUAAACUAUGCCGACUAGGGGGUCGGAUGAUGUUAAUUUUUUAAUGACUCAUUCGGCGCCUUA
rnacentral:rRNA from 1 species